rnacentral:lncRNA from 1 species
GUUCAUAAUCAUCCUAAAACCUAAUAUGACUACAUAGUCCAUAUGAGGAUGCAAUGCAUUCGUUAGUAGUUCCAUAUAGUCUCGCUUGUUUCAACGAAACAGUGGGAGUAUUAUAUGCUACUAAUUCAUAUUAACUUGGACCAAUGGUUGUGAUAGGCCCAAGUUCUUUUAAUAUGAUUAAAAUGUUUUGAUGUAGCCCAAAACUACUCCCUCAAAUCAAAUAUUAUGUUGAUAAGCGAGAGAUGUUUUGAACAUCUCUUCGUAGGCCUUCCACCGUGGUGGGUUCCAAGCGUUUGUGACUCAUGCACCGGCUUCACCCUAUCAUGGGGAAGUACAAAGCAUGUGCUUACAUCCAGGAGGAAUCCAUAUACAUAUGAUGAGGUGAGUGUAGGCAACGAGGAUAGCCGACAUUGUAUCAUCGUGAGGCUAUUCUUGAACCCCUAUACAAACUAAGCAUGGUGGG